rfam:Coccidioides immitis RS genomic scaffold supercont3.5, whole genome shotgun sequence.
UAUCUGGUUGAUUCUGCCAGUAGUUAUAUGCUUGUCUCAAAGAUUAAGCCAUGCAUGUCUAAGUAUAAGUAAUUUGUAUGGUGAAACUGCAAAUGGCUCAUUAAAUCAGUUAUCAUUUAUUUGAUAGUACCUUACUACAUGAAUACCCAUGGUAAUUCUAGAGCUAAUACAUGCUAAAAACCUCAACUUUGAAAGGGGUGUAUUUAUUAGAUAAAAAAUCAAUGCUCUUUGGGGCUCUUUGGUGAUUUAUAAUAACUUGUCAAAUUACAUGGCCUUGUGCUGGCAAUGGUUCAUUCAAAUUUCUGCCCUAUCAACUUUUGAUGGUAGGAUAGUGGCCUACCAUGGUGGCAACAGGUAAUGAAGAAUUAGAGUUUGAUUCUGGAGAGGGAGCCUGAGAAACAGCUACCACAUUCAAGAAAGACAGCAGGUGCACAAAUUACUCAAUCCCAACAUGGGGAGGUAGUGACAAUAAAUACUGAUACAGGGCUCUUUCAGGUCUUGUAAUUAAAAUGAGUACAAUCUAAAUCUCUUAACAAGAAACAAUUGGAGGGCAAGUCUGGUGCCAGCAGCUGCAGUAAUUCCAGCUCCAAUAGUGUAUAUUAAAGUUGUUGCAGUUAAAAAGCUUGUAGUUGAAUCUUGGGUCUGGCUGGCCAGUCCACUUCACAGUGUGCACUGGUCUGGCUGAAUCUUUUCUUCUGGGGAACCCUAUGGCCUUCACUGACUGUAGGGGGAACCAGGACUUUUACUGUAAAAAAAUUAGAGUAUUUAAAGCAGGCCUUUGCUUGGAUACAUUAGCAUGGAAUAAUAGAAUAGGAUGUGUGGUUCUAUUUUGUUGGUUUCUAGAACUGCUGUAAUGAUUAAUAGAGAUAGUUGGGAGCAUCAAUAUUUGGCUGUCAGAGGUUAAAUUCUUGGAUUUGCUGAAGACUAACUACUGUAAAAGCAUUUGCCAAGAAUGUUUUCAUUAAUCAGUGAACAAAAGUUAGGGGAUCAAAGACAAUCAGAUACUAUUAUAGUCUUAACCAUAAACUAUACUAACUAGAGAUUGGACAGGCAACUUUGAAUAAUCUGUUCAGCAUCUUAUGAGAAAUCAAAGUUUUUGAGUUCUGGAGGGAGUAUGAUUGCAAGGCUGAAACUUAAAGAAAUUAACAGAAGGGCACUACCAGAUAUGAAGUCUGCAGCUUAAUUUGACUCAAUACAGAGAAACUCAUCAGGUCCAGACAAAAUAAGAGUUGACAGAUUGAGAGCUCUUUCUUGAUCUUUUGAAUGGUGGUGCAUAGCUGUUCUUAGUUGAUGGAGUGAUUUAUCUGCUUAAUUAUGAUAAUGAAUGAGAUCUUAAUCUGCUAAAUAGCCCAACUCAUGUUUGUGAGCUGCUGGCUUCUUAGAGGGACUAUUGACUUAAGCUGAUGGAAGUUUGAGAUAAUAACAGAUCUGUAAUGCUCUUAGAUAUUCUGGGCUGCACAUGUGCUACACUGACAGGGCCAGCAAGUACAUCAUCUUGGUCAAGAGGUCUGGAUAAUCUUGUUAAAUCCUGUUGUGCUGGAGAUAGAGCAUUGCAAUUAUUGCUCUUCAACAAGAAAUGUCUAGUAGGCACAAGUCAUCAGCUUAUACUAAUUAUGUCCCUGCUCUUUGUACAUACCACCCAUCACUACUACCAAUUGAAUAGCUCAGUGAGGCCUUCAGACUGAUUCAGAGAGAUUGGCAACAACCACCCAGAGCCAGAAAGUUGGUCAAACUUGAUUAUUUAGAGAAAGUAAAAGUCAUAACAAGGUUUCUGUAGGUGAAUCUGUGGAAGAAUCAUUA